UACGAAGGGAGCUAGCGUUGUUCGGAAUUACUGGGCGUAAAGGGCGCGUAGGCGGCUUGGCAAGUUGGAUGUGAAAGCCCAGGGCUCAACCCUGGAAUUGCAUUCAAGACUGCCUUGCUUGAAUUCGGUAGAGGUUGGUGGGAUUCCCAGUGUAGAGGUGAAAUUCGUAGAUAUUGGGAAGAACACCGGUGGCGAAGGCGGCUCUCUGGACCGAUACUGACGCUGAGGCGCGAAAGCGUGGGGAGCAAACAGG
rnacentral:rRNA from 1 species